rnacentral:misc_RNA from 1 species
GCAAGUAUAGCAUUUGCUCCAAGUUCACCCUUCUUUUCUGUCGUAUCCAAAUCUUUCAUGGCCUGGUCAAUUUCAUAUUGUUGCGUAGGAUCCCUGCCAAUCAAUGCUUCCGAUAUCUUCUCGUUGAUAUUUUUGACUGCUUUAGUAACACUAUUUCCAAGGUAUAUUCCCUUGUCUCCAUCGCGUAACUCUACAGCCUCAUACAUUCCAGCCGGAUCGCCGCUGGGC